UCCACGUUGAUGAGCCUCUCAGACUCUCCCCUCUCACUUUUCUCUUUCUUCACUUUUCCCUCAGACCCUCACCAAACAACAAAGCCAUUUCUAGGGUUAGAGAGCCCCAAUCUCAUACUUUCUCUUCAGAUCGGCCUCCGAUAUGCCUUCUUUCAAUCCCCUUCAUGAGUUCUGCGAGUUUUGCAUAAACCACUCCUCCGUUCAUCCGGUCGCUAGCGCCGCCGCCACAGCGGCUAUGGAAGGAAGAUCCGUCACAGUGGAUGCUCUCCGGUUCGCUUGCCCGAUGACGUCUCUCUAAAUGUUGCCACCGCUGAAAGAUCCGGUGCCAUAGAAAGCGACAACAGUGGCGUCAAGGAGGGGAACAUCAAUUGGCCUCCACCGCCGGAGUUACGCGUCGCCGCCUCACACAACCCAGGGUUGAAAUUUGGGGCUUUGCACACUGGUUGAAAUUUGGAACUGAUAAACAUCAGGAUGGCUGACAAAUAAGGCUGAAAAAGAAACAGAUGUAGUGCAAGAGCUCCUGCUACACCUGCAUCACCAGCUCUAAGAAGUCCUUCUUCAUCAACUAUGACUGCUUCUCGAGAGGGUGUGCGUGCAAGAGCUGCUGCUUUGCGUCGAUGAGCAGCCACCACAUGUUUCAAGAGAUUCCUUCCACUAACUGAAGCAGCCAAGGACAGAAGAAGAAAGUUUGAUCGAUUCUGUAAAAAUAAAGAAUUAGAAGAGUGAUAUGACCUGAGAUAUUUAGGGUUGACUGUAAUUAUGUCAUGUUUCAAUGCGAUUACAGUUCUUCCGGCUGUCGUGUAAGACGGCAGUAUACCUUUUUCAGCCGUUAGAUGAGUCGAUUCUCGAACUAUGAUACACACGUAUCUUUGUUCAUUCUUUUACAUUUUCUUCAACGCUACCAAAUACCAAUGGCUGGAGUGAGAUUAGUAGCUGAACAUUUUAUGUCUGAUGAGUUAUUUGCUGGUUGGUGGUAAUUGCUGAAAGGCUGAAGUGUAGUCUUAUAUGCACGCAAAGGCUGAAGGUGUAACAACAAUCAAAGGCUUAAGUGUUGUACCAGCAGGUCGCUUAUGGCAACAUCGACAACAUCAAAGCUCUUCACGGAGAAGGUGUUGGACUUGAGAUUCUUCCGGAAUGUCAGCUGAAGAUCCUGAUUGCGAUGGAGAUGAUGACAACCAUGAAAAGGUCAUUCAUGAGGUUUAGAGCUUCCAAUAAUAAGUUUCUUUUGCAGUCAAUCAUGUAAAAAAGGAAAAAAAAUAAUCUCCAUUGUUGGAAAAGUGAGAUACAAGAAUCCGGUUUCAUAUAAUGCAGACCAUUCUGUUAUUAAAAAAAACACACACACCAGCCACUUGCUGACCGCAUGGCCAUGAAGCUAGGGAGGAAGCAAGGCUCACAGUGGUAUCAAUAUGAUGUACCAGCCAGAGGAGUCUCAUAAGGAUUUGUACUUAUCAGAGCUACAUCUGUUUUAGAUGUCAAUUUAUCUAAUUUUCAUGAACAUGAACCUUGAUUUGCUGCUGUACUAUUUUAAUUUUAAAAAAAACACAUACACAACUUUAGCUGAAACAACGCUUAUGUGAUUGUGUGUUGUAUAUACUUGGUUGAUCUAU